GCCGAGAUAGCUCAGUUGGUAGAGCAGCUGUUUUGUAAACAGCAGGUCGGAGGUUCGAUCCCUCUUCUCGGCUCCA
rnacentral:tRNA from 1 species